UAACUUGAACUCUCUUAAGGUAUACAGAUUCCUCAUCAUCUAAUUAGUUUCACACAUGAAUGGAUUAACAAUAUUCCCACUAUCCCUAGCUACUAUAUAGAGAACCCACAUCCAAGUGAACGGGCUUGGCAAAAUUAGCGGGGAAAGAAGACCUUGUUGAUAUUGACUCUAGUAUGACUUUGUACUAAAAUGACUUGAGAGGUGUAGAAUAAGUGGGACUCGUUUUGAUCUAUAACCCUAUGAAUCCUAUAACAUCAAACCCAUAUCCUAUAAAUUGUAAAUAAUAUAAUCUAUAAUACAAUAUAACAAUUUUAUUACCUAACACACAUAACCUCUAUCAAAUCUAAUACUUAACCCCUACAACACAUGCAAGAACCUAUAACCCCCAACCCAUAUAUCCAA
rnacentral:ncRNA from 1 species